rnacentral:rRNA from 1 species
UCGGGAAUAUUGCGCAAUGGAGGAAACUCUGACGCAGUGACGCCGCGUGCAGGAAGAAGGUUUUCGGAUUGUAAACUGCUUUAGACAGGGAAGAAGAAGUGACAGUACCUGUAGAAUAAGCUCCGGCUAACUACGUGCCAGCAGCCGCGGUAAUACGUAGGGAGCGAGCGUUAUCCGGAUUUAUUGGGUGUAAAGGGUGCGUAGAUGGAUAAGCAAGUUGGUUGUGAAAUCCCUCGGCUUAACUGAGGAACUGCAACCAAAACUGCUAAUCUUGAGUGCUGGAGGGGAAAGUGGAAUUCCUAGUGUAGCGGUGAAAUGCGUAGAUAUUAGGAAGAACACCGGUGGCGAAGGCGACUUUCUGGACAGUAACUGACAUUGAGGCACGAAAGUGUGGGGAGCAAACA